UUUGGGGAUGCCGAAAACCAAAUAGAGUAGGUG
rnacentral:ncRNA from 1 species